UACGUAGGGUGCAAGCGUUGUCCGGAAUUAUUGGGCGUAAAGAGCUCGUAGGCGGUUUGUUGCGUCGGCUGUGAAAUCCCGAGGCUCAACCUCGGGUCUGCAGUCGAUACGAGCAAACUAGAGUGUUGCAGGGGAGACUGGAAUUCCUGGUGUAGCGGUGAAAUGCGCAGAUAUCAGGAGGAACACCGGUGGCGAAGGCGGGUCUCUGGGCAUUUCCUGACGCUGAGGCACGAAAGCCAGGGGAGCAAACGGG
rnacentral:rRNA from 1 species